GUGAGUCGGCUUGUUUGUGUCAGACUCAGAUAAACUGCAUUUGCCUUUGCUCUCUUUCGAAGGGCUCCUACAUAGCUAAGGUGUCGCUGGGUGAAGAAUUCCCAUUGUAAGAAUUGGUCGUGUUAACAAAUAUGUGUUACUUGUUGACCUCUUGUUAUAUGCUAGACCCUGGGCUUGACAUUUCCUUCCUUCCUUCUUUCCUUCCUUCCUUCCUUCCUUCCUUCCUUCCUUCCUUCCUUCCUUCCUUCCUUCCUUCCUUCCAUCUGUCCAUCUUAAGUCAACCAAUAUUGCCUGUCAUAGAACAGCUGUGCCCUCCUGUCAGGAGGGAAAGAUGAGUGAGACCCAUCCUCACCCUCACAGAGAUGCAGUCUGGUGGUCUCUGGAAGAAGGAAGUUGUGAAACUUACCGAUUCCUUGGGAAAACAGGCAGGUACACAGGUACUGGCCUGUGCAGUGGGUGGGGUGGUCUCUCAGCUGUGCCAGUUCCUAGAGGAACCGAAAUCUAGUUAGGAGUGAACAGAAACUGCGUAACAGAAGAUGGGCUCUGCUCUGCAUCUUGGAAAUUGCCAAAGAUUUGUAAUGGUAAGGUGAAGACUGGUCUUGCGGUGGGAGGGGGAAUAAUGGUAUUAGCAGAGGCUUCAAGCUGAGUAUAAACAUGGUGUGUUUGGGUGUUGAGCAUGGUUUGCCUGGGAUGGAGAAUUGUUACUGGGGGCUUGGGGGUGAUGCAUUUUGAUACCCAGGCCUGGAUCAAAUUAUGGAAGGCACCAAACGGCAGCCUAAAGAGUCUGGAUUUUGUUUGACAAUGGGGAGCUACUGAAGGGCUUUCUGUACCAUAAAGGUAAGUUAAAAGUGUGAGUUAGAAAGAUUGGAGUACGGAGCCUGGUUAGAAAAGUAGUGCUGCAAUAUUCAUGGUGUGAAGAGAUGAAAGCCUGAACUUUGGUGGUGCUGUGCAGGUAGAGAAGAGGAGACAGGUGUGAGACUGUGAAGCGAGCACCUGAUCGGAGGGUGUGCUGUUGGGCUAGAUUUAGAGGUGGGGAGAGAGAAUGUGAGAGCUCUGAGGCAUGAGUAAUUAGAUGCUGGAACAUUUUCCCUUUCCCUUCUGCUUCCCUAUUUUCCCUCUAUUUAUUAUCUAUUUUGAUGUUUAUUCCUGUGUUGUUGUGCAUGCAAGGAAAGUGUGGGCAGUGGCUAAUGUGGCCCCAAAGGUCUGUACCUCCUGGUGUUCAUGCCCUUGUGUAAUCCUCUUUUCUUUAGUGUGGGCUAGACUUAGUCACUUGCUUAUAACAAAGAGAAUAUAGCAAAAGUGGUGGGGUGUCAUUUCUGAGGUUAGGGUACAAAACUGCUGUCACUUCUGUUGCUCUCACUCUCUCUUGCAUGCCCUGUCUUGCUCUAAGGGAAGCCCACUUCCAUGUUGUAAGCUGCCUUAUGGAGAGGCCUGUGUGGCAGGUAACUGAGGGAGGCCUCUGGUCAUCAGCCAGUGGGGAACUGAGGCCCUCAGUACAACAGCCAGUGAGGAGCUUAAUCCUGCUAGUAGCCAUGUGAGUGGGCCACUUGCUGGGAGUCAGUGACUUGAGCUUCCAGAAUGCUGUCUCCUCUUCUGGGAGCUACUGUAAACCACUCAAAAAAAUCAAAGGUGGCUUAUCAUCAGAAGUCAGGACACCUCAGUUAUAGUGAAGCAAAUCAGUGGUUCCAUAUUUUAACAUGAGCUUACUUUCCCAGCAGAGUCUCUCAAGUGGAGGUUACUACACAGGACCUUGAAGAGAGUCUGACAGCCCAAAUAUUAUUUCCUUCUAUUUGGGAUGAUUUUACUCCACAGUACGGUAAAUUGUGGGCUAGAAUCUAAAAGUGAUUUAGCAUCUCUACAAAAGAAGACUUCAUAGGCAUUGCCACGUUUAAUUGAUAACAGAGUAGAUCUACAUUGUUGCAGUUAGUUAUGGAGUAUAAUUGUAGAGUUGCUUUACUCUAAGCCUUCCCCAGUCUCUCCAUUGACUAUAGACAUAAUAAUACUGACUUGUUGAAACUAUAACCCAUCUAUGACUGUUGGAUAACAUGACUGUCAAUCAAAUUGCAUAACUGAGAGGCAGAGAAUAAAGAAAGCAUCGCUCAUCAAACUACUAGACAUUUACACUUGACUUUGGAUGAAAAUUGAGGUCACUUGGAAGUAGUGUUCAGGUUUACAUGCUGUGUAUAUAUUAUAUACAUAGCAAUACUCAUAUAUCAACUAUAUAUGGUGAUCGAUUUAUUACAGAAUUGAAUUCCUUUUGGUAGUAAAUAAUUACAAAUACUGUUAGAGGCAACAAGAAUCGAAUACAUCCUUAAUAAGGAUAAAGUGACCUGUAAAACAGUAAUUUAAAGCAUAUUAGUAUAAUGUCUAUGUGAUAAAACUAUCUAGCAAAGGCAAAACACCCUCUUCCCCUCAUGAUUAAUGUUUAGGAAGAUAAAAGGAUGUAAAUAUUUUUAUUGUUUUAUUAUCUUUCUUAGGAAAAUGACAGUGUGGUUGGUUUAAUUAAAAAGGAGAGUCUCCCAUAGACCAAAUAAAGAAAUCUGUUCUGUUUUGAUGACAAUGGAAAAUACCCAUUUAACUUGAAUAACACCUGGUUCUGUAGAAAUGUGCAUCUAUUAUGUAUCCUGCAUUCACUUAGUCUGAUUCAUGUGCUGUUUCACCACAUUAUUGAAAAGAAGAGAAGAGGGAAUAUUAGCUCUCUCAUUUGAGGAUAUUAAACUCCUGCUGGGGUUGAGGCACGGUGUGAGCACCCUACUUCCUACCUAGACUGUUGGGGCAACAGUCUACCUAGACCUGGAGGCAAUGAGGAGAAAAUGACAUGUUCCAUUAGAAUGAGGCAUCCCCGGAAUUAUUCGAUAUUCUUUGCCUUAAUUGAAUCCAUCUAUCCCAUCUGCCACUCUUCUCUCUAAAUUUAUUUCCCUAACCCAUUCUCCCUGAGAAUUAAAAUUUGGGGGAAAUUUGUUACCUACGUUGUUACCUUUUAUAAAAGCUCUCGGCAUCUGGAGGGCAGGUGUGCCUUCUACUCUGCCUUGCUAGACAACUUUACCUGCCUCUUUCCUGCCCCUUGCAGGCUGCUGGAUUAAAAACAGGACUGGAUAAAAGGCCCCCAGUAGCAACAGGAGUGGGAACGAAAAUAGAAAUUCUAAGCUUUUACUUAUUGGUUUCAAUACAGAGCCCUAACCAUGUGCCAGGCCUGGCUAACCGUGGUCUCUAUUAAUAAAUAUAACUACACAAACAUUUGCAUUCUGACUGGGGCAGAACAGCCAGCACGGGAGUAUGUUAUCUCAAGGGAAAGCUGUCUUAAAACUCUUGACUGAUUCACCUGUGACUUUGGCCAGUUGGUGCUCCCUGGAACUGCUCUGGUGCUGAAGGUUGAGGUCAUCUCUGUUCCCCAGAAUGUGGCAGAUCCAGCCACAUUCCUGACCACUAUCCUUUGCAAGGAUGAGACAGGAGAGAUGAUAGCUUCUCUUUAGGAUUCUUGUAGAAAUCACUUUUGGCCCUUAACCUACAUAUAAAGAAAUUUAACAUUAAUGUGCACAUAUUGAUUUGAGCAAAGCCCAUCCAUAUCUCCAAACCUACCAUUUACUAUGGUGCAGGAGGCAGUACAGGGUGGAGGCCAGAGCAUAGGCUUGAGAUGGGCAGGUAUGAAUUAGAAUUGCCCUUUAGUCAUUUGCUUGAGAACCUGCCUUGAUCCAUCUGAACCUCAGGCUUCUCAUCUCUGAAAUGGGUAGUAAAGCUCUUCUUUUGGGAUUGUUGUGAGGAUUAAGUGAGAUUCUGGGUUCUGAGCCCCAGGCAUAGGGCCUGGCACACAGUGGACAGUGGUUCAAUGUUCACUGUGAUGAUUACUUCAGUUUCAGUGCAUCAUUUAGACAGCAGCUGCCAGUCAGAGACAGGCUGACACUGACCUAGGAGUAGCUCCUCUGGUUGCUUCUGACAGACAUCCUUCUGCUUAGAAAGGAAACUUAAAGCACUUCUCUCUUUUACAUGGGGCUGCUGGCCUACAUCUGUUAUGUGGAGGCCUCUGUCUGAAACCUCUGCCCAAAACCUCCUCUUGACAUAUACAUCAUGGUAAUAUAUAAAUAUACCUUUCUUCAGGAAAGGUCCUAAAAGACCGUUUGCUAUGCAGAGGGACUGCAAAAUCCAGUUUGGUUGCAGACAAAACUGCCUUUGCAUGAUGAGGUAAAUAGUUGUCUUAAAACUAAGUAGAGUGUGAUUUCUGCUUGUUAUUGUUUUCUUUGAAAAAUUUGUUUCUUCCAUAAAAGAAACUUGACAGUGAAUUUUGAAAAUCAUGUGAUAUAGUUUGGCUGUGUCCCCACCCAAAUCUCAACUUGAAUUGUAUCUCCAAGAAUUCCCAUGUGUUGUGGGAGGGACCCAGGGGGAGCUAACUGGAUCAUGGGGGCUGGUCUUUCCCAUGCUGUUCUUGUGAUAGUAAAUAAGUCUCAGGAGAUCUGAUGGGUUUAUCAGGGGUUUCCGCUUUUGCUUCUUCCUCAUUUUUCUCUUGCCGCUGCCGUGUAAGAAGUGUCUUUUGCCUCCCGCUAUGAUUCUGAGACCUCCCCAACCAUGUGGAACUGUAAGUCCAAUUAAACCUCUUUUUUUUUUUUUUUUUUUUUUUUUUUGGAGAUGGAGUCUUGCUCUGUCACCCAAGCUGGAGUGCAAUGGCACAAUCUUGGCUCACUGCAACCUCCGCCUUGCAGGUUCAAGCGAUUCUCCUGCCUCAGCCUCCCAAGUAGCUGGGAUUACAGGCAUCCACCACCACGCCUGGAUAAUUUUUGUAUUUUUAAUAGAGGUGGGGUUUCAGCACGUUGGCCCGGCUGAUCUUGAACUCCUGACCUCAGGUGAUCCACCCACCUUGGCCUCCCAAAGUGCUGGAAUUACAGGCAUGAGCUGCCAUGCCCGGCCUAAGCCUCUUUUUGUUCCCAGUUUUGGGCAUGUCUUUAUCAGCAGUGUGAAAACAAACUAAUACAUCAUGAAUAAACAUGUUCUCCUCAUGAGAUAGUAAAACAAUAGAGAUAAGGGGGAAGUAUCCCCUUCAAAUGUGGUCACUCCUGUACCCCCAGGUCUAAAGGCAUUUUUCAUACCAUUUUCUAGACAUUUACCUACUGUAUAUGUCUGUCAUUACGGGUGUAGAUGAUAUUGCUGUGUGCGUUGUCUUUUUUUUUCUUUUUAAUGUGAAUAGUAUCACUUCACGGACAUUUUUCUGUAAUUUUUCACACGUGCUGUUAAAUGUUAUUAUGUAUGGAAAUACCUCAUUCUUUUAAACUGCUUCAUGGUAUUCCAUAAAAUAUUCCAGGGUCUAUUUAUCUGUUAUUUUUAUUCUUAUUUAUUUAUUUAUGUAUUUAUUUUUCGAGGCAGAGUCUUGCUCUGUCGCCCAGGCUGGAGUGCAGUGGCGCAAUCUCGGCUCACUGCAAACUCCACCUCCUGAGUUCAAGUGAUUCUCCUGCUUCAGCCUCCCAAGUAGUUGGGAUUACAGGCAUCUGCCACCAUGCCCAGCUGAUUUUUGUAUUUUUACCAGAAGUGGGGUUUCACUAUGUUGGCCAGGCUGGCCUUGAACUCCUGACCUCAAAUGAUCCACCCACCUUGGCCUCCCAAAUAUUUAUCUGUUAAGUUGAUAGACAUUUAGGUUUCUAGUUUUUAUGGAAAAUAGGUAGUCAAUGUCUUUAUUUUUAUGUAUGCUUCCUGGGCACGUGAGGAAGUAUUACUACCCAGAAAUAGAAUUGCUGGGUAUGUGCAUUUUUAAUUUUAAUAGUUCUGCCAGAUUGUCUUCUGAAGUAGCUGAGUAAUUUAUACUUCCACUAGCAGUACAGAGAUGUGCCCAUUUCCUUAAUUAAUGCUCCACAUUUUCAAACCUUUUAAAUUUUGCCAAUGUUAUGAGUAAAAAAAAUUUGAUUUGUAUUUCCCUCAUUUGUGGUGUGUUUUUGAGCAUUUUCCUCUCAUGUUCAUUGUAUUUGUACUCUGUAAAUUGCUGUUAGUAUCCUUUGAUGAUUUGUCAUUGGUAUUAUUUAGAGCUGCUUAUUGAUUUGUAGGAAUUCUCUAUGUAUUCUCGAUUUGGAUCUUUUCUCUAUUUGGAAACAAUGUAAUUUUCCACCUUGUUGCUUUUCUUCUUUUGACCUUGUUUAUGGCAUCUUUUCCACAAACGCUUUUUCUCCCCUUUGGAAAUAGUUGACAUUUCAGGCUUUUCCUUGAGGCCUUUUGUUUUUUGUGUCUUGCUUAAGAAGACCUUCACUUCCUCAAGGUCAUAAAAUAGUUUCUUAUAUUUUCUCUUUAUGCUUUAUAGGUGUUUGGUUUUUUAUUCAGAUCUUGGAAUCUUUUGGUUAAUGAUGUGAGGUAAAAAGUUAAUUUUCAAUCUUUUUCCAGUUACCAUCUAUCCUGAGAACCAUAUAUUGAAUAGUUUAUCCUUUCUGUAGAGAUCUUUCUUAUGCUUAUUUUCCAAACACCUGGGUCUGUUUCUGAGCUCUUUUUCUGUUCAUUGUUUGAACUGUUUUUUUUCCUGCACCAAUUAAUUACUCUUCUUUAAAUAAUAUGCUUUGUGGUCUACAAAAAAUCUUUUUCAUUAUAGAUUUAGUAAAUUCUAUCUCUAAAAAAUUAUUUUUUUAAUUCCUGGGAAGUGUGUUAUACAUGACAUUGUUCAACAUUUGCCAUGUCUAGAUGAUCAUAGGAAACAGAACCUCGCCUCAUGCCCACAGGAUGCUGUAAAGAUGGGCCCAAUGACUACAGCCAGCUCGGAUCUUGGUGAAGCUUCCCCUGAAAUGAUUUUCCAAGACAAAUAUCUCAGACUUGGGGAAAUGAAUUAUUGAGAGAUAUUGUCUUCUAAGUUUCUAAAAAGGCCAACCUCUGUGGGUGGUGGUUGGGAAUUUUCUUGAAUGAUGUGGACGCUCCCAGCUGUCUGUCUGUCAGGCCAGAAGGGAGAAAGUAGAGCCAUGGAAAGUGAAGGCUGGAGGAGAGGGAGACAGCAGACCUGAGACAGGGCAUGGAACCCCUGGGCUUCCCAGAGGGGAAGGGACUGAAGGUCUCCCUGGGUAGUGGGAGAGAAGCAGGUGGACCCUGUGGGCUGGGAGCUGGGCCAGGCAGCGUCUGGAAAGAGGACCUGUCUGGAAUGACCAAGGUGUGACUCUGGAAUCCUUCAAAUCCAGUACCCAGUUGUAAGGUUUUCUGUGUUGUCAUUUCUUUUAUUUUACCCAAGUUUUUAUUAAAUGACCUAGCCUUCAAUAGCUGUGCUAUCGGAAACCAAAUUAUGAGUUUAUACUGCUGUAGGAGCCACAACAGGAAGGCUGCAAGUAUCCAGCUUCAUGCCAGCCCUGUGUGGUAACAGCACCAUUAUUCAAGAGAAGACGGCAAUGCUGGGAACCCGGCAGGCAGCCAAGUACCAAGUGAGCAGAGGGGGAUGCCUGAGCUGUGAUGUUGUCCUUAACACUUUCCCCCAGCCCUACCUUUUAAUACCCUGCAAAGGAGGAAAUCCUAGAAGUGAGAGACCAGAGUCUGGGUUUUAUUUAUAUGACAGGAAGUAGAAGCUAGAACCUUUAAGGUCACAGAACACCCAUAGUAGAACUUAAAGUCCAGGUCUCCUUUGGUGGGAGGCCAGCUUGCUGUUUCCCAAGAAUGAUGCUACGGCCAUAAAUUUGAAUUUCUGUGUAGGCCAGUGUUUCUCGACUGUGGGCAGUUUUGCCACCCCCUCGUCCCAGAGGACAUUUGGCAAUGUCUGGAGACAUUUUUGGUUGUCAUGACUGGGGGGUGAAGGUGCUACUGCUAUCUAGUGGGUAGAAGCCAAGGAUGCUGUUAAACUUCCUACACUGGAAUGCACAGGACGGCCCCUACCUCAAAGGUUGAUCACGUCCAAAAUGAUAGUGAUGAGAUUGAGAGAAACCCUGAUGUAGGCCAGUUAAUUUUAGGUUUUCUUUUUUUUUCUUUUUCAUUCCUAGAUAAUAAAUGCCUAACUCUCACCAACUACCUUGCCAUCGUGGGCUUCUUCGAUCAGAAAUCUAGUAAGAGAGUGUGGUAGGGGCUGCAAGACCCAUCAUCACUACCAAAAAACCUGAAGUCUUUUCACUUUCAAUAUGUGAAGACCUAAAUUAUGUAAUUGGAUGAAUGAUAUUUGUAGAGUCAAAGAGAAUGUGAGCUCUCCGUCUUAUGGGUAUAGUUAUUAUGUAAUAAUCAAGUAAUGUGGUCUUCUUUUAUUGUCUUAAUCUUUCACAAACCAUUGCUUUCCUACUCCAAUAGGAAGCCCGAUCAGUGCUAAGACACUGAUACUAGAUAGCUCUUAUUAUUGCCAAUGUAUGGAUGAUGAAACUGAGGCUCAGAGAGGAAGUAAAAUAAAGCAUGGCUCCCCCCUACUGGUUUACUAUAUUCCAAAGUUAUUAAACACCUGGCCAGCACUGCUGUGUAGGUUGUACACUGCACAAUUGUGUCCCUUCUAAGGAGUCAGUGUUCAAAUCACAGCCAUCAGAGAUUUAUUAUGAUAAUUUUUCUGGCAGAUGGCAGUAAAGUAGCUUAUUCUAACAAAAUUGGGAAUAUAAAGACUAUUUUCUAACAGAUGGAAGUAGAGUUUUUUGAAGCAGGUGAGCCUUUUCCUGAUGCUCACUCAGGUGCUAGAUGGACUAGCAGAAAGAAUGGCAUCAUUGAUGUCCCUUUGUAUGUGUUACCAGUUCAUCUGGGAAUUUUACUUUUUGCUGGGAGUCACCCUCCCUUGCCAGCCACAUGUGUGGUUAUACGUUGGUAUUGCAGAGUGAUGCCGUUUACAAGUAAUACAUUUGAGUUGGCAGAUUUCCCAAGGUUUCUUUUGUGUAUGAGAAACAUAGUGCCUUGGGUCAUGGAAUAAAUAUAAGAGCCUCGGUAUCUAAUUUUGGUUGUUCACACUUCAAUUAGGGCUUAAGUCAUCCUAAGCUAGGCUUGGAAGAAAGAGACAUUGACAUUUAUAUUAGUUUAAUAAAUUUGGCAGCGGGGAGGUGCAAAGAAUGUUAUUUCAAUUAUAGAUUGACCCAUGAUUGAUUUAGCAACAUGCGUUGCUUAGGUUGUAAUCGAUGCCAAGUAAUGGCAGGUUCUGGACUCUUAGGAAGGUGGGCACAAAUGUUGGGGAAUUGAUCAAUGGAUGAGCUCCAUAUUGGCCUUCUACAGGGAGAAUAAAAAUACAAGUAAAAUAUUGUAAGAUGGGAGUGAUAGCACUGCAGAUGUUAACACAGCCUGUCCAAGCUUUUAUCCUUUGUACCUACGCAGCCAUUUUUUUAACACAUGGGACACUAUUCUUCAACAGAUUUGUUCUCUUCUAAGUUUGUUCUGAAUCUGUAGUGUGUGUCAUUUCACGGUGUUUUAAAGAGGAAAAGGCCUUGCUUCAGUUGAGAAGGCUUUGAUUUUUCCACCUACACAAAUACCCUGGCAUUCAGGGAAUUUGGCUAAUUUAAAAAAUUAUCUCUUAUAAUGCCUAGUUACUACCCCAGUUUGUGUUGGAGGUGGAGUAUACAAAGGAAUUACAACCCCCACUUUAUAAUCGGGAUAAGAGAGGUUGACAGACUUACCUUGCCUGGCCCAGUGCCAAGUGCCACGUGGUAUAGACUAAGAAUAGUUGCUUCUCACGAGGAGCUUAUUUAGUUUGAGGGAGGUUGUGUGCAAUCAAUAAUUAGGAAACAGGAUAGCCUGUGAGAAGAUGCUGAUUCUGAUGUGCAGGUAAGAAAUGUCACAGGAGGCUGAGCAGCACGGAUGGCUGUGGUGGGCAGCAAAGUCUCAGGAGAGAGGAGAAACUUGAGCCCCGCUGUGAAAGGCAGGGAGGAUAUAAAUAGCUGGUGGGCAGAGUGACCCAGGGCUGAAGGAUGCAAAUAGUGGCCAUCUUAAGUAAGAGCCUCAGGUCACAGAGAUAACAGUUCCCUGUAUAAAGACCUUAGUGGAAACCAGGUGAGUCUCAGGAAGUUUGGAAUCAAGAAGACUUUAAAAGAGUUGCACAGUGUUUCCAAGAUUAAAAUCUGCAAUGUGACAUAGUAUAGCUAAUAAUAUACAGUGUGUUCUUAGUCACAGGGUAUAUUUCUUUUUUUUUUCUUUCUUUCUUUUUUUUGAGACUGAGUUUCACUCUUGUUGCCCAGGCUGGAGUGCAAUGGCGCAAUCUCGGCUCACUGCAACCUCUGCCUCCCGGGUUCAAGCGAUUUUCCUGCCUCAGCCUCCCUGGUAGCUGGGAUUACAGGCAUGUGCCACCACGCCCAGCUAAUUUUGUAUUUUUAGUACAGAGGGGGGGUUUCUCCAUGUUGGUCAGGCUGGUCUCGAACUCCCGACCUCAGGUGAUCCGCCCCCCUCAGCCUUCCAAAGUGCUGGGAUUACAGGCAUGAGCCACCGCGCCUGGUCUUAAGUGGUAUAUUUCUUUGAGAAAUACUUUUUAUCAAGAAGAAAUCUCUGAAAUUAGAGCUCUGUCGAUCCAAACAAGCUAAUUAGGUGAGAAAAAGGAACUUUUCAAAAUCCUUUAACCAUCUGGUUGGCAUGUUUAAAAACUACAACCAAUCAUACUGAUAAAAGGGUAGUCUCUACAUUUGUGUCUUACCCUUGAACACUCCAACACUGGGUCGUUUUUGUAGACAGAGUAUAUAAAAUUUUCAUUCUAAGUAAGCUGACCAAACAGCUGAGUCUGCCUAGGAAGUCCUGGAUUAUGCUACUUGUCCCAGUAAAAUUAUUAAUAGCUUCCCCUUUCAGAAUCAAAAGUGUCCUGGUUUAGAUGAUAAAUUAUAUGGCUACCCUAAUUUUAAAUGAUGCACUUUAGUCUUUUUUGUUUACUCUGUGAGUUGUCAGUGGCCAAAAAAGAUGUUUCCAGCUUAAGAGUAUUUGCCCACAUGUGAAUCCUGUCUUUAUGAAAUAGUUGUAUUUUUUCCCUUGCACAGAAAGCAAUCAUUGCAAAAAAUUCAGAAGGAAAUGAAAGGCAUAAAUAAGAGUUAUAAGCCUAUAAAUAAGUGUUAAUAUUUUGAUAUAUAUAAUGCCACGCAUUAUCAAUAAUAUAUUUAUAUACCUUUAGAUCCCCAAUCUCCAAACCAAGCCACCUUAUAUAUAUUAAAUAUCUAGAACUAUAUGAUAACACAGCCAAUAUAGAUCAAUAUAAUCACUUUUUAAAUAAUUGCUUUUAGAGACUAUAAUAUUCUAGUGAUUGGUUCUUUAAUAUUUUUAACUAAUCCCCAGUUUUGGCGUUUAGGUUUUUCCAAUAUUUCUAUAUAUUAUUGACAGUGCUGCAGUAAAUGUUGUGUGUAGCUAAAUCUUUUUCCACAUCUACGAUUAUUUCUUUCUCUUUCUUUUUUUUUUUUUUUUUUUUUUUUUUGAGAUGGAGUCUUGUUCUGUUGCCCAGGCUCACUGCAACCUCCGCCUCCUGGGUUCAAGCUGUUCCCCUGCCUCAGCCUCCCAAGUAGCUGGGACUACAAGUGCCUGCCACCAGGUCCGGCUAAUUUUUUAUUUUUUAUUUUUUUGUAAUUUUAGUAGAGACAGGGUUUCACCGUGUUGGCCAGGCUAGUCUCGAACUCCUGACCCCAGGUAAUCCACCUGCCUCAGCCUCCCAAAGUGCUGGGAUUACAGGUUUGAGCCACCGUGCCCAGCCUAUGAUUAUUUCUUUAGGAUGCUUUUCUGUAAAUGGAAUUGCCAAGUCAAACUGGAUGCACAUUUACAAUUUUGAAAUUGCCAAACUUUGCCAGGGUGUAUGAGAAUUCCCAUUUCCUCAUGGCCUCAUAGGUGCCGUACGGAUGAUUCUUUUUCAUCUUUCAGUCUGAGGAGAGAAUUUCAUCUCCAGCUUGUUUCAGUUGUAUCUCUGCUUAUUGAUGAUUUGUAUUUCAUUUUUUUGUAAAUUGCCUACCUUUCUUUUAGAGUGUUCACCUUUCUCUUAAUGAAUUGUGAAAGCUCUUUAUAUUUUAAAUAAAAUACCCCUUUAUGUUAUAAAUUGCAAGAUUUUUUCCUGACUUGCUAUUUGUCUUUUAACUUUAUUUAUGGUAGAUUUAUGUGUAUACAGAUAAGGUAGAUUUACGUAGAUUCAGAAGUCUUUACUUUUUAUACAGUUAUAUCUAUCAGUCUCUUCCUUUACAGAGUUUUGUACUUUUUAAAAGGACCAGGUUUGCAACAAAAUUAACCUGUGAAACUUUUACAGUCUUAUCUGAUGCUCUAAAACCCUUGAUCUCCUUGUUUCAAACUUUAUAGUAUGGGCAUUGCACAUAGGUGAGAUAAUUUUUGUUUCCAUUUCCGUGGUUCAUUAUAUCCUUCAGAAGGGGUUUAGGCACUUUAGAAAUUCACAGAUAAGUCACUGCAAGUAAGAACUAGUGAUGAGCAUUCUUUUCCUCAACCACAAACCACACGUGCCUCUAUUUGUAUAAUAGAAGGCUGUAAUGGGAGUCAAAGGGACUAGUUUGUUGAGAAUGUUGCUGAAUUUAUCAUAUUGUCCCAUUGAUGUGCUUUAUAAUUGCACUGAUGUGUUUUCCAGAAAACUGUGGCACCAACCCAGGAUUCUAAUACAUAGUCAAGAAAAUGCUACAGCCUGUUGUAGCUCCUCCAAAGCAAGCAGCUCUCCAUGGAAUGGUGUCCCCAGGCUUCAUGGCAGAGUUAUUAUACCAUGGUCAGGAGGGCCUGCCCCACAAGUGCACAUCCCGCUCUAGCUAGGACCAUUGUGCCUGAGUUUGCAUCUGAAUUCCUAUGCUGGUGUCCUGGCUUGAACCACAUGUGAAUCUCAACCCCUUCUUUGUCUUUGAAGGUAGACUUGAGCACCCCGCUUUGCCCUUGACCCUUUACUAUGCCUGUUUGGCCUUCUCAAUGCUGACACCAGGGUUGGAGAGAGAAGAGAAUCUCCUCUUCCUCUCCACCUUAUAGUCUAUUAUAAGGUGGACUACCUUAUAGUAGUCCACUUAGUUGUCCUCAGCCUCGCCCCUGCUUGCAUCAGAGUCCCUUUUCUUGUGGACUGAGAGAGGGGAGGUCUUGAGCACCAUUACGGCACCACCGUGAUGCUGAGAUAGGGCGACUCACCUCGGCCCUCAGCUUUCAGAGCCUUUCCCCCUGCGCUCGCAGGGGGGACCCUGGGAUCUACCCCAGGUGCAAUCUCAGGGUGCCAAACCCCAUUAUCUCAUACCUUAAGAGAACUCCAUCAUGGGUGGGGUGUCUUGGGGAUGAGCACCAAGGAGUAAAUGUUUGGUUUUGAUAAGGAAUUAUGAAAAAGCAAUAAAUAUGCUAACUGUAGAAUAACCUGCUCCGACAGCAGAGAACCAGGUUUCUGAUCCAACUCUGGGGUCCAGACCAGGGGCUUGAGAAUAGUUUUUAUUAUGAAAUGACCCUGUUAGGAGUUUAAUUGGCCUCCUCCCAAGAUGCUGUACUUUUAUAUGAAGUGCAUCAGGGGUCCCUUCUAUUUGGAGAAGAUAAACUAAUUUCCUUCUGUCUAUCCAGUGCCAUUUGGUCUCCCUCUCCCAUCCUCCUAUUCAGUAGCCAAAGAACUAAUUUGGCUACAAUACAACCCUCUUCAGAGUGCUGGGGAGAGAGAGAAAUCAAAUAUGAGCAAAGCCCAUACCCUCUGUAGUGGGCAAAGCUCAUUUGUAAAUAAUUUUAGUCUUGUUGCUCAUUCAGUAAUUCUGUAUCCCUCCCAAUAGGUAUUGGCAGCGUGUCAGAUGGCCACCAGUUAUGAAGAGCUUCCCCAUUUCCGAAACCCCCCAGCUUCUCAAGGGUCUGUGAACUGGGGAAAACAGUUAUGCUAAAGGAGUCAUAGACCCGUUCUUUUCUCUUUUUGAGGGCUGGGGUGGGGAAUGGUAGAGUGGAAUAACAUCUUCUAUUCAUCUACUCAUUCAAGAAGCAUUUACAGAGCUCUCCUCUGUGGCAGGCCCUACCCGAGAGGUGGAAAAGAGAAAUCUGGACACAUCGUAUGUCUCAGUUUUCCAAAGGCAUUUCACGAAAUGAGUAAUAACCUCUGUUGAGCUGAAUGGUGGCCCCUGAAGAUAUCAGGUCCUAAUACUUGAAACCUAUGAAUGUUACCUUAUUUGGUAAAAGCUUUGUAGAGGUGAUUAAGUUGAGGAUCUUGAGUUGGAGAGAUUAUCCUGGAUUAGCCAGUUAGGCCCUAAAUGCCAUUAAAUGUAUCCUCGUAUAAGCAGGAGACAGAGAAAUAAUGACACACGCAGAGGAAUAGGCGAUGUAAAGAUGGAGCAGGAAAGAUUUAAAGAUGCUAGCGAUGGAGAUUGGAGUGAGGCAGCUACACACUGAGGAACACCACAGCCAGCGGGAACUGGAAGAGGUGGGGAACAGAUUCUCCCUGCAAAGCUGCUGGAGGAGUGAGGUCUUUUGGCACCUUGAUUUUGGCCCACUGAAACAGGUAUGGGACUUCUGGCCUCCAGAACUAUGAGAGAAUAAAUUUGUGUUUAUUGACUCUUCCAAACUUGAAGAAAAUGUGUUAUACAGUAGUCCCAGGACCAUCCUUGCAGGUAAAAUGGAGACAUGGGUCUAGAAGACAGUGCAAGUAGGUGUCAAGGUAUUUGACCAACUCUGUCUAUUAUUCAGUCACAUGGGAAAUACUGACUGACUACAGUGCUCCAGGCACUGGAGCAGUGGAUAAGGCAGACAAUAUCCCCACUGACACUGGGGUAGGGGGAAGGAGCAGGUAAUAAAUAGGUAAAUGAAAAAUAUGAACAAGGUAACUUUAGCGAUUGACAAGUGCCUUAAAGAAAACAAAACAGGAUAAUGUGGAAUGGGGGACGGGGAUCCUUUUAGACUAGGUAGUAGGAAGCCCUUUCUGGUGAGAAAGCCUUGGAGCUGAGUCCUGAAGAUCAUGAAGGAGCUACCAUCUGGAGGGAGAGCAUUCCAAGUGGAGUGAGUGGCAAGCACAGAGGCUAUGAGGUGGGAAUGAGCUUCCUGUGUGUGAGAAGCAAACAGAAGGCCCAGACCCCUCUAAGUCAACAGGGAGAUCAUUGCUCAGGGAGGGCUGUGGGAUUCUGUCCUAGGUUCUGCCCUGUACAAUUUUCAUUUUUUAUAAUUAAAUUGGAAGAAAACAUAAUGCAUCAUAAAUGUGCAGGCAAUAUAAAGCUUGUAGGAUGUGUAUUGGGUUAGAGUCAGGGGUUGAGUUUCAAAAUACCUUGACAGGCAUGAACAAAACAAUGAACUUCAACAGGGACAAAUUGUGAAGUCCUGACUUGGGUCUGAGAAAAAGUAUUUGCCUAAGUCAAGAAUGGGAACCUGAUUUGAGUGUGGUACUGGUGUGAAGUCCCUGAAGCUGAGUGUCAGCACAUAGCAUGAUGUGACUGCCAUAAAAAAGUCAAGCACUUUUACAACUUUUUUAAACUGUGGGGUACAACUCCAGGGAGGAAGUAGCCAGGGGUCUGUUUGUGGAGGACUGAGUGGGUAUCACAUUUUAUGGGGUCACAGAAACAGCUCAUUAUUUGUUUAUUCAUUCAAUUAAUAAAUGCUUAAUGAGCACAUAUUAUGUGCCUGGCACUGACUAGGCUUUGGGGUAAAUAACAGUGAAUAGGAUAGAAACAUUUGAUGACUUCAUAGAGGUGACAUUCUAGGGAGAAGAUAGACAUGGCAGAUUUAAUUAUACACAUAUCUUUUUCACUGUAUUAGAUUUUUUCAGACUAUAAAAUUAUAGUAAUAAAAUAGCAAUAUCAAAUAUUACUGAAAUACAUAACAUAGGAAAAAAUAUGCCCUGUCAAUUCAUCCUCCCUCCCCAGACGUAGCCACUGUCAACCAGUUUGUGCAAGUUUUUGUAACUUUUAAAAACAUACAUGCAAUGUAUUUUUAAAGCAUAAAAGGGGAAUCAUACACUUCUGAAUUUUGUUUUUUAGCUUCAUAUAUCUGGGAUAUCCUCUCACAUGAACACAAGGAAAUCUACCUCAUUCUUUUUAAUGUCUUAAUAAUAUUUCAUGCUAUGGAUGUAUUAUAGUUUAUUUGACUAAUAUCUUGUUGAUAUGCAUACCGUUUCCAUUUUCACUAUUAUAAGGAUUUGCAAACAAUUGUUCUACAUACCUUUUUAUAUAGCCUGUGGUCAUAUUUCUAAAGCACAGAUUCAGAGACGUGGGAAUACUGGCUGGGCGUGGUGGCUUACGCUGGCUCACUAUGACAUCUGUAAUCCCAGCACUUUGGGAGGGUGAGAUGGGCGGAUCACGUGAGAUCAGGAGUUUGAGACCAGCCUAGCCAACAGAGCAAAACCCCGUCUCUACUAAAAGUAUAAAAAUCAGCUGGGUGUGGUGGCAUGUACCUGUAAUCCCAGCUACUCAGGAGGCAGAGGCAGGAGGAUUGCUUGGACUUAGGAGGUGGAGGUUGCGGUGGGCCAAGAUCACGCCACUGCACUCCAGCCUGGGCCACAGAGCGAGACUCUGUCUUGCAAAAAAAAGAAAAAAAAAAGAAGUGGAAAUACUGUGUCAAAAGGUAUGGAAAAUUUAAAUGAUAGAUACCACGUUUCUUACCAUUCAGGAUGUACCUCAGUGAGAGUGCAGUUGAGAUCACAUGUUUUCUUGCAACCUCAACAUUCCAGGCAGUGUAGACAGUGCAAAGGUCCUGUGGUAGAGGGAACCUGGUGUAUCAGCAGGACUGAACAGAUUCCCUAGGGGCAGAGAGCAGAGAGCCAGGUAGGGAGUGAAGAGGGAGGCAUGGGCCAGACCUUGCAGGGCCUUGCGAUUCAUCUUGAGGGUUUUGGUUCUUAUCCCAAGAGAAAGGAGAAGCCAAAGGGAAUUUCAUGCAAGCUGACAUGAUGAGAUAGGCAUUUUGAACAGGUACCUCUGGCUGCCGUACAGGCAAUGGACUGGGAAGAUGGAAAAGUAGAUGUGAAGAGCACCUGGGGUAGCUAUUUUGGGAGUCCAGGUGAGAGAUGAUGGUAGCCUGGACUCGGGUGGAGGCUGGCCAUGGAGAGGAGUGGCUACAUUUAACAGUUUUUUAGGCCACAGAACUGAUGGAAGCUGAUGCCUAAGUGGGCUUAGGUGGGGACUGAGGAAGAAGGCAGUGUCCUGGAAGAAAGAUGGAAUGGGAGUUAUCAUUGGGAUGAUGAGAUGUCAAAGGAGCAGGUGAUGAUUGGCCAAAAAAGUGAAGAUCCAGAGGAGAUAUCUGCUUUAGAGAGCAGCCUUUGCACCCUUGUCUCUCAUGCCCACAGCUCUAUCAAAGGCAGGCUGACCAUGGGAUUCUGCCACCCUGGCCACAGCUGAGGAGUGGGAAAGUACCUGAGCCGUGGCCAUAACGUGGUCUGGAGUGAAAGCCUGCCCAUGAAGGGGACAGUGCCAAAUGGAGCUGAUGAGAUGUCCUUCAUGGAGUUUGAAGGAGAACCCAAGUGAGGGACAAUGUUUGGAGCUGGGGAGUCAGAAGAAGGGCCACACAAGGAGAGGGCAGGAAAUGGAAGUCGUAAGUUAAAGUCACAAGGAAACAAGGAGAGAAGAGAGAAGCAGGUGCAGGAGAAGGGGCUGAAGACCCAUAUAGCGCUAGAGAGGGAUGGAUGACCUCUGUUCCCAGUAUGGCUGAGUGCUUAAGAGUCAGUCUGUCAAGCUGAGCAGAUCUGAGUUUGAUUUCCCACCUCUUGUGCUAACUAGCUCAGUGACCUUGAACAAGCCACCCAACUUCUCUAAGAUUGUUCUGUUCAUAGACAUUAAAGUAUUUAUUUCUCGGAGUUGUUGUGAGCUUUAAAGAGAUGUGCAUGAAUACCAAAGAAGAUAUUCACAACACAAAACCAGCAGAGAACUGGUCUCCAGACUUUUUUAAAAAAACAAAAGUCUCUUACAAAUCAGUAAGAAAAAGGCAGGCAGCCCAGUAGAUAAACAGGCAAAAUACUUGAACAGACACUUAACAAAAGAGGAUAGUAAAAUGGUCAAAAAAAAUGAAAAGAUGAUCAAUGUCAUUAAUAAAGAGAAACACAGUGAGAUUCCAUAUGCAACAAUGUGGACGAAUCCUAUGAACACAACGUUGAGCUAAAGAAGCAGCAUAGAGAUGAAUGCAUAAAGUAUGAUUCAAUGUAUUUAAAGUUUAAAAGAACCAGGCAUUAAAAUUCCAAUUAAAUAUUUUAUACUCUCAUCAGAGAGGCAUAUGUGAAAAAUCGGAUGAUACCAACUGUCGGUGAGGAUACAGUACAACAGGAAAUCUAUAUGCUGCUGAUGGAAUUUAGGUUAGUAUAACCAUUUUGGAAAACACCUUGGCAUUAUCGAAUAAAACUAAAAACAUGUAUGGUACACAACCCAGUAAUUUUGUUCUUGGGUGUAUGUAUAUAAGAGGAACUUUUCACAUAUACCAUGUAUACAUAUAUAUAUAUGUGUAUGUAUGUGUAUAUACAUAUACACACAUACAAGCAUGUCCAUAAUUUUAUUGCUAUCAUGGCCUCAGAAACUGAAAAUAUCCAUCAACUGUAGAAUGAGUAAGUAGAUUGUGAUAUAUUCACAUAAUGGAGUACUAUACGGCACUGAGAGGGAAUUAACUAUGCUAUAGAGAACAAUAUGAAUGAAUCUUAUAAACAUGAUGUUGAACAAAAGAAAUAAUAUGUAUUAUUUUACUUUAGAAUUCAAAAAUAAGCAAAACUAAACUAUAAAUUAUAUAAUAUAGUUAUAUAUUGAUAUUAUAUAGCAUAGACUGUUGAGGAAACUAUAAAAAAAAGUAAGGAAACAAUAAUCACAAACAUCAGAGUAGUGGUUACAUCUAGGAAGGGAGGGGCCCUGGGGCCUGAAGGGAGUGCUCAGAGUGAGAGGACUCUGCAGUGCUUGAGCAUUUUCUGUUUCUUGACAGAGCAGGUAGUUACACAAGUGUUUGCUUUGUGAUUGUUCAUUAUACUGUAUAUUUGUUUUGAACACUCUAAGAGUAUUUUAUUCCACAAUUUAAACAGGUUUUUUUUUUUUAAAAAAAAAAAGAUAGCUAACACUUGUAAAAUGCUUGGCAUAGUGCCUGGCCCAUAUUAAGAGCUCAACAGAUGGCAAUUUUAUUUACUGGUGUAACCCAGUUGUUAGAGCCACAUUGUAUCCUAAGCAACCUUCCAGCUCCUGAACCAGCUCUAGUCUCCAUGCGGUCUGGCUUUGAGGUUGAGAUUCCAGAUCCCUCUGUUUCCCAGGCUGGCCCCAAAUAAACCCUAUUACUUAAGGCAGUGCUUUUCAAUGGAUAUGUGAUGGUUUAUUUUAUUGCCUUAAAUGCUUCCCAAGUGAGCUGCAAUGUAUAAGAUUUUUUGGGGGAGCAUUUCUGUUAUUAUACAGUUCUAGAAAGCUAGAUUGCUAAUUGAGCACCGCAUGAUGUGGGAUAGAGUCAGAGUCUAGCCUGCUGCAGGUCAGAGUUCAGGCAGCAGAGGUGGAACCUGAUGGCAAUGUAGUGCCAAAGAAAAAAGACCUGGGUUUCAAAGACAGAAGCUAUUAGGGAAGUAAAGACACACUCAAAUAGCAGUCAUGUGGAUGGGGACCAGAGGAAUCCCAGGACAAUUGUGGAUACCAUUUUAAGCCUUCAAGUGUGUAACCCCAAAUUCUAGCAUUCCACAGAAAGAGUGACAAUCACUGAUUUAAGGUAGUCUGAGAAUGUGUAUUCCUUGCAAGCCUAAUAAAGAAGUUGCCAUUUCAUAGUCAUCAGAAGGGUUGUUGUAUACAAUAGCUAAUGAUAAUACUAGCUAAUAAUUAUUGGGUGCUCAACAGAAGCCAGGCACUGUGCUAAUAUUUCAUUCUUACCUCAACCCUAGGAGAUAGGUACUGUUAUCUCCCUUUCAGUAGAUACAGCUGAGGCACGGGGGAGUUCAGUAACUUGCUGAAGGUCACGCAGCUGGUAAAUGCUAGAGCCAGGAAGAAGGAUCAUUCUUAGUCUCUAGUUCUAGAAGCAAGGGUGUGGCCCAGGGUUUAGGAGUUAGAUGGAAGGACAUUUUGCUAACAGUAAGCAAAAACAUGCCAACAGGCCAAUCCAACAUUGGAAUGGGGAGUUUUAGAAAAUAGCAAAUUCUCUCUAAGCAGCAUGACUAUCAAAUAUGUUUUAGAAGAGAUUUUUGCGUUGGGUAGCAGGUUGGACUAAAUGCCUUUCAAGGUCCUUCAAAGAACCCAAGAUUAAAAGUUUAGAUCUUGGUAGAGCUUCAGAUUGGGAGCUGGACUGUAUGCUUUUUAUUUUAUUUUUUAAUUUGAACUUCCAAACUCCAAUGCAUACCCUGAUGCAUAAACUAUGUACACUUUUUAUUUUGAUGUUCAUGAACUUCUCAGAACUCUUGAGGCAUGGUAAAAUUAUUUUCCCUAUGUGGUUUUUUUUUUUUUUAAGUCUUUUAGCUGACGGUAGUUGUGUAGCAUCUUUCUGACCAGCAAGAAAAUGCCUUUCUAAUCUCUAGAAGAGAAAUCGUUUGCAUAAGGUGUUCUCCCACAUUUAUGUCUUUAAUUUCAGAUGAGAGGCACUGAUCUUUUCAUAAGGACUUUCCUGCUACACCUCCCACAAAUGGUGUGUGUCUUGUGAACUCUAUAGGUGUGGCAUUGAUAAUGGUGUUUGAUAGUGUUUGGGCUGUUCAGAAUCUGCCCUUUAUACUGAAAUGAUAUGUCUAGCUUUGUUUCCAGGAUUACAGAAACUUCUUUGGUCUAUUUCUGUGACUGCAUUCAGUGGAGACACAUUACUUUCUGCUUUUCAGAGCCUGAGACCACCUUCCAGGACAAUGGAGGCAUAAGGUGGCAUUUCUAGUUGGAGUUGGUGCUGAUUGAGCCUUUGCCAUUACUUGGCAAAAUUAAUUUGGUUGUGGUUGGUUGUUUGACCCGGGGGUGGCAUUUUUCCAUGGGCAGAAUAGUAGAGCUGAGUUGCAUAUAGUUGUUUUUAAGGUCUUUGGAUAAUAACCAUUUUAACCAAAUGUGUAGAGGCUUUGAAAUUGCCAUAUGUGCAACUUAAGUUAUCAUUUCACAUACAAGUAGUUCAUUAAAUAUAUUAAUUGAGUUUAUUGAACAUAUGCUUUUAAAAAUAGACUUUGUAUUUUAGAGCAGAUUUAGGUUCACAGCAAAACUGAGCAGAUAGUACAGAGAUUUCUCAUAUACCCACCCACUUGCAUAGACUCCCAGCUAACAACAUCCCCUACCAGAAGUGGUACAUUUGUUAGAGUUGAUGAAGCAACACUGACACCUCAUUAUCCCCCAAAGUCCACCAUUUAUAUUAGGGUUCACUCUUGGUGUUGUACAUUCAGUGGGUUUGGACACAUUUUUAAUGACAUGUAUCCACCAUUAUAGUAUCAUACAGAGUAGUUUACUGCCCUACAAAUAGUUUGUGUUCCACCUAGGCAUUCCUCCCACCGUUCUAAUCCCUGGCAACCUUUUUUUUUGUUUUGUUUUACCUUCUCCAUGGUUUUGCCGUUUCCAAAAUGUUGCAAAGUUGAAAUUAACAGUAUGUAGUCUUUUUCAAUUGGCUUUUUCACUUAGCAAUAUACACUUAAGUUUCCUCAAUGUCUUUCUGUAGCUUGAGACAGCUCAUUUCUUUUUAGAGCUGAAUAAUAUUCCAUUGUCUGGAUGUACGGCAGUUUACUUAUCUGUUCACCUACUGAAGGAUGUCUUGGUUGCUUCCAAGUUUUGGCAGUUAUGAAUAAAGCUGCUAUAAACAUCCACGUCCAGGUUUUUGUACGGACAUAAGUUUUCAACUCUUUUGGGUAAACACCAAGGAGCAUGCUUGCUGGAUCGUAUGGUAAGAAUCUAUUUAUUUUUGUGACAAAUUGCCAAUCUGUCUUCCAAAGUGACUGUGCCAUUUUGCAUCUGCACAGCAGUCAGUGAGACUUCCUGUUGCUCCACAUCCUUACCAGCAUUUGCCAUUGCUGGUGUUUUGGAUUUUGGCUUUUCUAAUAGGUGUGUAGGGGUAUCUCAUUGUUUUAAUUUGCAUUUCCCUAAUGACAUAUGCUAUGGAGCAUUUUUAUAUGCUUUUUUGCUAGCUAUAUAUCUAUAUAUAGCUAUAUAAAUAUGUAUUUUUUAUUUCAAUAGUUUUUGGGGUUCAGUUGGUUUUUGGUUAAAUGGAUGAAUUGUAUAGUGGUGAAAUCUGAGAUUUUAUUGUACCUGUCACCCAAGUAGUGUACCCAAUGUGUAGUUUUUCAUUGCUCUCCCGCCUCCCCCUUACCUCCUUCUGAGUCUCCAGAGUUCAUUACACCACUGUGUAUACCUUUGCAUAGCCAUAGCUUAGCCCCUAAUUAUAAGUGAGAACAUAUGGUAUUUGGCUUUCCAUUUCUGAGUUACUUCACUUAGAAUAAAUGGCCUCCAGCUGCAUCCAAGUUGCUGCAAAAGACAUUAUUUUAUUCUUUUUUAUGGCUGAGUAGUGUUCCAUGGGGUGCACCUGUGGAUAGCCUUUCCUGAACACUUCAGUGGGGCUGCCUCUCCACAGGCAGCGUGCCCUCCAGGUGCAGGCUUGCGUGAGGGGUAGAGUCACAAUCCAUCUCAACAUGGAACAUCAGCCUUCCUGCAGAUGAAAAGAGGUGUCUGUCUGAUCUGAAUAGCUGGGACACUGGGUCAGGAGUGUGACUAGGAGGUGGAUCACUUUCAGGGGAGCUGAGGUGUCCCUCCCUUCCUUCUGAGAAGACCUCAGUGCAUUUCACUGAGAGCUCCCUCAGCUGCCUCUAUUAGGGCUGGGACCUCUACCCAUCAUUGGGUAUUGCAUUUACCCACUUUGCUUUAGCCACCAAUUUUUUUUUUUUUUUUUUUUGAGACAGGGCCUCACUCUGUCACCCAGGCUGGAGUGCAGUGGUGCAGUCUCAGCUCACUGCAACCUCUGCCUCCCAAGUAGCUGGGAUUACAGGUCUGUACCACCAUGCCUGGCUAAUUUUUGUACUUUUGGUAGAGACAGGGUUUCACCACGUUGCCUAGGUUGGUCUCGAACUUCUGAGCUCAAGCAAUCUGCAUAUCUCAGCCUCCCAAAGUGCUGGGAUUACAGGCGUGAGCCAUUGUGCCCGGCCACCACAAUCGGUUUUUACCUGUGGACACCUCCCCUUCUGGCUGGAAGCUCAACCUGUUCAACCCAGUAAAUAAAGUGCUAGGGAAAAAAUUAAAAAGUGCAUACCACUGGAGAACAAGAUAAGCUUUGAAAGACCUCUGCCAUUCUGACCCCACAGGAGACAGUGAGCACAUUGCUGCUACAACCAGCAGCUGAGAAAGCCACCAUACAAAGACUCUGUAUAACCAAGGAACUCACACAGAGUCUUCACCCCUGAAAGCACCAGGAGCGGAAUUAGGUGAUAAUGAACUGUGUCUUUUUUUAUGAGGUGUCUAUUCAGAUCUUUUGCCAGUUUUUCAACUGGGUUGUUCGUAUUCUUAUUGUUGAGUUUUUAAGAGUUCUCUGUAUAUGUUAGGUAAAAGUUCUUCAUCAGAUGUCUUUUGUAAAUAUUUUCUCCCAGUCUGCAGCUUGUCUUCUCAUUCUCUCGAAUAUACACUCCUCUGACAGUGCUCUGUUAGAUGUUUUAUGGGCAUAGAAAUUAUAUUUAGCACAGAAUUUCUCCCUUUCAAGUUGCUCUCAUUCUUAUUGGCAAAUACCUAUUUCCUGGGUGCAGAAAGAUCCCCAUUGCUGUUUCCUAUUGGCUACUCAUGAAGCUCUUAAGUGGAUCGUGGGAGUAGUAAACACUCCAGAUAAUUUGUUUAUUUGGGAAACUUGCUUGGAUAGUGUUUUAUGUCAGAAUUCUAUGACAAACUGUGCUUUGGUGACUUAUGUAUUCAGACUCUGACUUAUCUGGGAAGACAAAAUGUCAUUAGCAUUCUAAGAAAUAUUAAUGACUGCUAUUUAUAUACCCCAUCCACACCACUUUCACUGGCAUCUGGCAUUGAUGAUUGUGAAGUAUUGAUGACUUUUCCAAAUAAGAUGGAAUAUGGCAAUUUGGUAAAGAGCAAACAUUUUUAUUUUAUCUGGGGUUAAUUUUUUGUAUUUUGAAAUAUUCAAAAAUACUUAGUAGAAGGGAUCAUUUCUUUUUUCUUUUCCUUCUUUUUUUUUUUUUUUUUUUUUUUGAGAUGGAGUCUCCAGGCUGGAGUGCAGUGGCAUGAUCUUGGCUCACUGCAAGCUCCGCCUCCUGGGUUCACACCAUUCUCCUGCCUCAGCCUCCCAAGUAGCUGGGACUACAGGUGCCCGCCACCACGCCCAGCUAAUUUUUUGUAUUUUGUAGUAGAGAUGGGAUUUCACCGUGUUAGCCAGGAUGGUCUUGAUUUCCUGAUCUUGCGAUCCACCCACCUUGGCCUCCCAAAAUGCUGGGAUUACAGGCAUGAGCCACCAUACCUGGCCACAGAAGGGAUCAUUUCUAAAUAGCACAGAAUCACAGGGAGUACACCUCAUGUGACUUCACGUUUAGAGUCAGCAUUUGCUUAUAAUGAAUUACGUAUCAGUAAAUGAACAUGACAUGCUUCAACUUCAAUAAUAUUAAACAAAACUCUUUCAGUGUGCUUAUUCAUAGAUGAAAAACAGGGCCUGAAAACCCAGUGUGACUUGGGUGUCAUAUAUCUUCAGUUUGGAUGCACUAUAUCAGUGCUAAUCAAUAAAGGCCAGGAAUGAUUUUGGAGUAUAACGUCCAGCCUUAAAUCUUAAAUGAAAGUGAAAUUCAAACACUUAGCCCAGCAGUAGAAGAACAAACACUAGUGAGACAGUAUAAUUUGUUAAGACGAACAUGGGCCGGAUCCAUUAUCUAAUAUAUGUGUCCUCGACGGUAUGUACCAUCUCAAAGAGGAAGAAAUAGUCAAGGUACCCAAAUGAGCCAUUCCUCAGAGACAGCCAAAGAGCUCUGAGAGAGAGCAAGUGUGGGCAAGAAAGAGGGGACAUUUGUGUCCCUGACCAUGAACAUAUGCUGAGUCACCCAACUGCAGGUCCAUUUUUUUGGUGAGACUGAUAUAAAUGUUCUUCCAAACUGGCCAAGCUGCAAGGUUUCCAAAAGCAAAGCUUAAGGCUGGACGCAGUGGCUCCCACCUGUAAUCCCAGCACUUUGAGAGGCUGAAGUGGGAGGGGCUUGAGACCAGCCUGGGCAAUGUAGCGAGACCCCAUCUCUACAAAAAAAUGCAAAAAACAAAACAAAACAAAAACCCGAAACAAGCAGGCACAGUGGCUCACACCUGUAAUGGCAGCACUUUGGGAGUCUGAGGCAGGUGGAUCACUUGAAGUCAGGAGUUUAAGACCAGCCUGACCAACAUGGUGAAACCUGUCUCUACUAAAAAUACAAAAAUUAGCCAGGCAUGGUGGUGUGCACCUGUAAUCCCGGCUACCUGGGAGGCUGAGGCACGAGAGUCACUUGAACCUGGGUGGUGGAGGUUGCAGUGAGCUGAGAUCAUGCCACUGCACUCCAGCCUGGGCAAUAGAGCAAGACUCUGUCUAAAAAAAACCCAAAAAACAAACAAAAACCAAAACAAAAACAGAGCUUAAAAAGCAAGACUUGCACAACAUUAGGACUAGGAGGUAGCUGUGGCCAGGGCUCUGUGUAAUGCAAAGAUUAUGUCUAUAGGACCUCUGCAGGCCUGGGUUUUACUCCUAGCUGUGUCCUUACUAGUUAUAUCACCUUGGGCAACUUAUGUAAACCCCUGAGCCUCAGUUUCUUCAUUUGUAAAAUGGGAAUAACAAUUUCUGCCAUUCAGUACUGUUGCCUAGAUGAGUGAUAAUUUGUGUCAAAUACCUGGCACAUACUAGGGACUCAAUAAAUUUUAAGUACAGUAAUGUCACUUAACAAUGGAGAUAUGUUCUGAGAAAUGUGUCAUUAGGUGAUUCCAUCACUGCGCAAACAUCAUAGAGUGUACCUACACGAACCUAGAUGCCUACUACCCACCUAGGAUACAAAUCUGUACAGCAUAUUACUGUACUGAAUACUGUAGCAACUGUAACACAAUGUUAAAUAUUGAUGUAUCUAAACAUGUAAACAUAGAAAUGUUACAGUAAAAAUAUGGUAUUAUAAUCUUAUGGGACCACUGUUGUCUUUGUGGCCUAUCACUGAUUGAAACGUUAUGUGGUGCAUAAUUAUAAUUUUAAAAAAUCAUUCAGACCUAAUGUAUGCAUUUAAUGACUCCACUCUAAGGAAAGCCCAAAUGCACUUAAAUAUACUUUUGUUUAUACUGCUUUCAUUGGAAAUGAAAUGCCAUGUCAACUAUGAUGCUUUCAGUUGUAAGUAGCAAAACUGCCAACUCAAACUAGCUUAAAAAAUAAAGUGAAUUUAUUGGUUCAUGUAACUGGAAAGUCUCAUGAAAAUGUCAGCUUCAGGAGAAGCUUGACCCAGCAGCUUCACGAUGUAUGGAAAUACCUGGGUUUUUUGUUUCUGCUCUGCUACUGUGGUAUCAGCUUUAUUCCAAGUCUGGCUUCCUUUGUUGUUGCAAAAUGCUUGUCAGAAGAAGCCUGGGUCCACCUGUUAGGAUUAAGUUUACUCUGUAUGCUGUAGUAGUGGCUAUGACAAGAUAGAAGUGUAUUUCUCCUCCAUAUAAAAGAAAUCCAGAGAUAGGCAGUCCAGGGAUGGUAUGUGGCUCCACUAUGUCAUGGACCCAGACAUUUAACUUGAUGCUCCACGUCCUAAGGUAUGGCUCCUUUUCUCAAGUUCACCUCAAGUUCCAAAAUGACUGCUAGAGUUCCAGCCAUUACAUCUGCAUUCUAGGCAGGAGGAAGGGGCAGAAGAAAGGCUUGCCUCUUCUCUUUUAAGGAGGCUCAUUGGAAGUGCCACACAAUCCUUUGCUUACAGCUUAUUGGCUGGCACAUGGGGUAGUUGCCAGGGAGACUAGGAAAUAAAGUCUUUUGUUCCCCCUCCCAUCCUCAGUUCCUUUUGCACUGUGCUAAACAAUUCUAGGACUUUUAACAGAACUCUUCAUAAAAGUCUUGAAUUUUAUUGUAUUUAUUUAUUUUUGAGAUGGAGUCUUACUCUGUCACCCAGGCUAGAGUGCAGUGGUGCUAUCUUAGCCCAUUGCAACCUCCAUCUCCCACAUUCAAGUGACUGUCCUGCCUCAGCCUCCUGAGUAGCUGGGACUACAGGCGUGCACCACCACACCUGGCUAAUUUUUCUCUUUUUUUUUGUAGAGACAGGUUUCACCAUGUUGGCCAUGGCUGGUCUCAAACUCCUGACCUCAGGUGAUCUGCCUGUCUCGGCCUCCCGAAGUGCUGGAAUUACCACUGUGAGCUACCAUGCCUGGCCAAAAAUCUUGGGUUUUAGAUCCCUUCUUUAUUUUUUUGGAUCUUUUCUGAAUCUUCUCCAGUCUUUCCUGAUUCACAAGGGGCACAGUCAUAAGCCAGGAAAUCCCUAAACCUUUAUAUACUUUAGUUUCCCCAUCUAUAAAAAGAUAAAAAGAUAAUUGUAGCUACCCUUUUUCCUCCAGAGAUUAAAUAAGAUGCAUGCAUGCUUGAUGCAGUGAACAUUUAAUGAAGGUUAAUAAAUGUAAUACUUUGUGAUUCAUGGGUCCUGUCUCCUAUUUGUGUUUUUAUCUAUCAUGCUUGUUUCUUUACCUGAAACCUCCAAAUCUCUUCUUGCUCAACCGCAGCUUCUGCUUCUGUAAUUUGUUUUUCUCCCUUUAGAAAUGCUUCAUAAUAAGCGCCUUUGAGUCUAUUUCUGACUUCAUCUCGAAUUUGCCAAGGUAGUUUUUUCAGUGUCUGAAAAUAUGACAGUAAGAGAAAAUGAUUCAGGAGGGCAAAGAGCAGAAAAGCAGCUAUAAAGAGUGGGCAGAGGGGAAGGGGAGCGUUGGCCUCUCCCUGGGAGCUCCAGGCUCCAUGUGCACACACAGGCUCAUCCCCGCUUCUGUCAAGCUCUUGUUCCCAGGCUGAGUUACUUAGAAAAGGAAGAAGAAUGUUUCCUAUUUGUUCAUGUGAAUUCACUUAAGAAACACAUCCUCAGUGAUUAGGCGUUAGAGCUAAUUUGUCUACAUGCAGCUUAGAGUUAAGCUUGGGAAUUUAUUUUAUUUGAAAUUCAAAGGAUGAAGCCCUCUUUGUCUUAAGGAGCUGAGAAACACAGCUCAACUGCGUCUAAGAUGGUUUGUACUCACUGUCUUCCUCCCUUCUUGCUUCGGCAAGGAUGGAAGGGCUGGGAGGAUUUGCAUUCAGUUUCUCAUGCAAAGAGCUCCUCACGGAAUUCCUGCCCUUUGCAUAUGCUGGACAAGACCAAGAUUUUCCAGGGCGCUGCUUGCAGUUGUGUUCAUAACUGUGGGGUGAGAUAAUAGCUAACAUCAAUUGACGGUCACUAGAAGCAUUUGCAUGUAUAAUAACAGUAACAGCCAACACAUAAAACGGUGCCUACUAUGUGCCAGGCGUAGUUUAAAUUAUUUUGUAUACCUCAACCAAUUUUAUUCUUUCAUACUCCUCUGAAGUAGUAAUUACCGUUACCUACAUUUUACAGAAAGGUUAAAUGUGGGCUCAGAAAGUUUAAAUCACUUGCUCAGGGUUAUAUUCAGCUAGUGUCAGAGCCUGGAUUCAAACUGAUCAUAUGGCUCUGUGCUCUUUUUCUUUUUUUUUUUUUUUUUUUGUUUUUGUUUUUGUUUUGAGACAGAGUCUCGCUCUGUGCUCUUAACUGGUACAUUCUACCAUCUUCCUAGGAGGGGGUUUUAGUAUUAAUAUUCUUAUAAAAAGGAGACUGAGGCAGGGAGAGAGGAAGGAAUCCUGGAUUCCAGUGUAGGCAGGAGGCUCCAGAGCCUGGGUCUUCUUUGCUACCUCCUCCAGGGAAAUGCGGAGACAUCUCCACAUCCAGCACUUCACAUAGGAAGUACCCUGAGGACCACAUGGGAUGACAUAACCCAUCUGGAGUAACUAGUGGCAUGGUGCAGGGUGCAGAGCUGUGCUUGAGGUGCUCCCUAAACCCCAUCAGUCCUGAUACUGCUUCUGGGGCCUUGGAGGGGAGUAAGGGAGGCCAGUGUUUGGGGGACAGAAGGCGGCAGCCCUGUGAUCAACAAAAUCAUGUUUCUGGCACCAGGAGCAGAAUUCAUGUGUGCUUUUACUGCUUCCUGUGCUCUUCCUCAUUUUACCCCAGGGUCAUUGGUCAUGGUGUCCUGGGACCCUCUGGGGGCUUGGAGCAUCAAUACCACAACCAUAGUCCCACCUGUUAAGUAAGAGAACUAGCCAGGGAAGACAUCAUUUAAAGUGUAAUUUAUUUAUUUGUAUCUUGCCUUGCUCCCCAAAGCUUUUAUGACAGGAUACAGAAAUGCUUCACAUACUGGAAGAGUUCCUCAGUUAGGUGUGUGUGUGACAGUGUGGCUGCAAUCCCAGCUCUCCUUCUCUCCUUCCCAGGAACCAUGGACAAGUGCCAGCAUCUUUCUGGCACCGGAUUUUUCUGCCUCUAAUGUGGGAAUGAUGUCUUCCCAGUAGAAUUAGGGUAGACAUUAAUACCAGUUCACGUAAAGUUCUAGCACUAGCCUGGACCACAGAGGUGCUCAGUGGAUAAUUAUUAUUAUUACAAGGCAUAGAAUUAUUUAACGGAAAGAAAUCAAGGGGUGAGGUAAUAAAAUAGAGCCAAGAAUGAGGUCCAUACAAAAAUACCUACUAUGAAGUCAUACUCACUUUGUCAGGGCCAGUGUGAUGAGAGAAACCUGAUUAUUAAAUCAUUCACGAUGUUCACAAGAGGAAAACAGUGGGCUCAGGAGAGGCAACCGCUCAGAAGGAGCUCUUUAGAGGCCUUCUGAGAAGGGCACUGUGCAACGUUAUAAACUGUUCUCAACAACUUCCUCAGAAUAAACCCAGUGAUAAGUGCCACCGGCUUCCCUUUAAUAGAGGCUAAUGGCAACAAGCCACAGCAUCAGCCAAUAGAAACCAUUCCUGAGAGCCAGCAUCAUAGAGUCCAGGCACAGUGCUUGCAGGGGCUGUGAUUUAACCAGGGGCAACAACAGCGAGUGCUUACUGAGCGUCAGGAGGGCCAGUGAGAGCUCUGAGCCCUCUGCAUGGAUCACCUCGCUUAAGUCUUACAACACCCAUAUGAGAUUGUAAUAUGGUCAUCCCCAUUUUACAGAUGAGUAAACUGAGGCCCAGAAAAGCUAAGAAAGUUUCCCAAGGUCACUGAGCUCAUGAUCCCUAAGCAGCGUUCAAACCCAGGCAGUCAGGCAGGCAGGCAGGCUGGCUCUGGAGCCUGUGCCACUGCCCUCUCUGGUAACUGAUUAGGACCAAAUAUCCCUGUGAUAGUCCUUCAUAAAGGCUGUCCUUGACAGCUGAGCCUUUGACAAAUCUUGGGCAGCAGUGAGUUUAAGGAAAUGUGUGAAUCCUGAUGAGUUCCUGAGGGGCCAACAUUCUGGAGGGCUAGUUACUGUGGAGCCGUAUGCUUUACCCGUGGGCCGAGAUGGGAUAGGAUCGACAGACUUCCGCUCAGGGUCCCAGUAUGGGCUCUGGCUUGAACUGAAGGUGAUCCAUGAGCUGGGUUCAGAAAAGGGGGUAGGCAAAUAGGGAAGCAAGGCCAAAGUGCACCUAGAAAGUAAGCUCCAGUCCACUCCAGUGCACAGACAAAUGGAUGAUUGAGAACCCACAGUUCAUGUAUCAGGGCUGCCAUAAUUUUAAUCGGAAAAAUUCUUUAAGGCAGUUAAGUUUCUGUUCUGGCUAUAUUUUAAAAAAUAAUGAAUAGGGCCAGGGGCAGUGGUUCACACCUGUAAUCCCAGCACUUUGGGAGGCCGAGGUGGGCAGAUCACUUGAGGCCAGGAGUUCGAGACCAGCCUGGUCAGCAUGGCAAAACCCCAUCUCUGCUAAAAAUACAAAAAUUAACUGGGUGUGGCGGUGGGUGCCUGUAGUCCCAGCUACUCGGGAGGCUGAGGCAGGAGAAUCGCUUGAACCCGGGAGGCGGAGGUUGCAGUGAGCCGAAAUCGCACCACCACACUCCAGCCUGGGCAACAGAGCAAGACUCCGUCUCAAAAACAAAAAAUAAUUUUAUAUGUGUGUAUAUAUAUAUGUAUACACAUAUAUAAGUGUAUAUAUAUAUAUACACUUAUAUACACAUAUAUAACUAUACAUAUACACAUAUAUAAGUGUAUAUAUAUACACAUGUAUAUAUGUACGUAUAUAUAUGUAGGUAUAUAUGUAUAUAUGUAUCUAUGUAUCCUAUACAUAUACAUAUAUAUGUAUCUAUGUAUCCUAUAUAUACAUAUAUAUGUAUCUAUGUAUCCUAUAUAUAUACAUAUAUAUGUAUAUAUGUAUCCUAUAUAGAUACAAAUAUAUGUGUAUAUAUGUAUCCUAUGUAUAUAUCCUAUGUAUAUAUAUGUGUAUAUAUGUAUGUGUAUAUAUAUGUGUAUAUAUGUGUGUGUAUAUAUAUAGAUGUAUGUAUAUAGUACCCAUAGGAUACUUAGUGCACAUCUCUUUUAUUGUGAUUUUUGCCUAGUAUAUUGGACCCCCAAACUGUCAGACAAAAAACACUUCCAAAGUCUUCUCCACCCCAUAAUCACCAUCCCAGCAGAAUUUUCCAGUAAGGCAAAUACAGUAUUGUGCUAUUUCUGCAUGGUAGACAUUGCAUACUUAUAAUUCUGACACAGCAGGACUCUAAGCCAUCCAGUCUUCUGGGCUCCUCUUCUUGUGUACCAGGAUUAACGAGCAGAGUCCCACUCCUCUUCUGUGAAAGCCGAGUCCUCCUCAAGAUGUCCUGAGACUGUCUCUGAGGACUCACAGACUCCUGGUCCAGGGUUGUCAGCAUCCUGGCAGUGACCGCCCUUUCCCUGACGUGUCACCCUGCUGUACAGGGCCCCAGUUUCUCUAUCCUUUCUGCCUUAGGCUGCAUUUGGCUGAAUGCCAAGGAAUUGGAGCACAGCAUCAUAGGGGUAAUCGCAGAAGGCCUAGUGUUCUGCCCUUUAGCCAAACCACUUGCCAUGUCCCCUUAAGGCCUUGCCUUGCCAUUACCUUCUUGGGCUUUGCUCUUCUCCAGAAGUGGCUGUCUACUCAACUAACAGCUUCCUGCAGUCCCCAAAUUCUGGUUACUUCCCACCGGAACACAACACAGCUUGUUCUUCAUUUUUCUUUGUUACUUCCAGGCUAUACCCAGAGCUUGCAUUUCUCACCUACAAGUCCCAUCAAGGCUCAUGGUAUUAUUUCUUCCCUAUAAGAGAAUGUAUGUCCUAUUAUGUGAAAGUGGCUACAGUCAUGGCUUUAAAUAGCAUUCUCCCACUGCUACAAUAUGUGUAUUGAAGCUUACAGAAUAGUUGAUAGUUAGGAAUUAAAUCUAAAAAAGUAAGGACCAAAUAACAAUAUAACAAAAAUGACCCCAAACAAGAGAUGCCCAAGCAGUAUGAUCAAGCAAAGAAUGGUGGUACCAAAAAUAAAGGCAAAGAAGAGGAGAUGGCUGAUGGCGGGGAUGGCCCCAUUGGGCUCUCAUGAGAGAGGUGAAGGUGGAUUGAGUAUGAGGGAUGGAGGAUGUGAUGAGUGGGGAGAGACUAGGAGGGUGUCACAGGGAGGAGAAACCACUUGAGCAGAGGCAGGAAGGUGGCCUGACAUGUGACCCACUGGCUUGGAGGAGUGAGUAGGAGUAAUCCAGGCUGGCGGGGAAGAGCAGGAUCUUCACCAGGCCAGAAGGAGAAGCAGAAACCAGACGAUGGAGACCCUGCCAGUUGUCUUCUGGUAGCAGUUCUGAAGUGAACAAGUUGAAUGCGGUUCUCUGAGUGUAAGACACUCAACAAUGUAAACUGCUAGGAUGCAGCUCUCUAAUUAAGACUAUUUUCUUACAACAUGUGUUUGUUUAUUACAGAGAGCUGUGAUCACUUGAGGGUGUCGUGUCAACCUUGUCUCAUGCACCAGCUGAAUUCAGUGACACUAACAUCCUGGAUCCUGCAGAUGAGAGUAUUAUGACUGCACUACCAGGGAGGCUGCCCAGGGCUGGAGAUUGCUCUGCUCCAGAGGUGCUUGGUUUGCAGUGUGGGCGGACUCAACCUGAGCGAAAGCCACACAGAAGCGCCUUGAGCUGGAGCCCCAUGCUAGUGUUGGUUACACCAGUGGUUCUUUUUUUUUUUUUUUUUUUUUUUUUGAGAUGGAGUUUCUCUCUUUUUGCCCAGGCUGGCGUGCAAUGGUGUGAUCUCGGCUUACCACAACCUCCACCUCCCAGGUUCAAGUGAUUCUCCUGCCUCAGCCUCCCAAGUAGCUGGGAUUAUAGGCAUGUGCCACCAUGCCUGGCUAAUUUUGUAUUUUUAUUAGAGACGGGGUUUUACCAUGUUGGCCAGGCUGGUCUCGAACUCCCGACCUCAGGUGAUCCUCCUGCCUUGACCUCCCAAAAUGCUGGGAUUACAGGCAUGAGCCACCGUGACCGGCCAACACCAGUGGUUCUUAAACUUCAGCCUGGGUCUGAGUCACCUGGAGGGCUAUGAAAACACAGAGUGCUGGGCCCCAUCCCCAGAGUUUGUGCCUUCAGUAGGUCUUUGGGGGGGCCUAAGGAUUUGCGUUUGUAACAAGUCCCCAAGUAAUAUGGGUGCUGCUGGUUGGGAGAUCCCACUUUCGAAUCGCAGGUUCACUCUACAGUCCCAUUGUUAACUUAUAAAACUCUUGCUCUCUAGUUCUUCUUUUUGUAAAGGUGUGUCCUGAGGAACCUCAGAUUUGAAAGAAGAAUGAAUGGAAGUCAAAUGUGGAAACCACUCAAAUGUCCAUCAGCUGACGAAUGAAUAAACAAAUCGUGGUAUAUCCAUACAAGGAAUAUUAUUCACCCAUAAAACGGAAUGAAGUCUUAAUACACCUACAACUGGAUGAACAUUGAAAACUUUAUGCUAUCCAUUCUGCUUCAGACCGGAAAGGAGAAACAGUCUUAUCUGCAUGAAAGUCCUGGUACUGCUGUAUCUCGUACUAUAAGUUCAGUUUUCUCCCUUCACCUGAAGAUGGAGUCUCGCCCUGACGCCCAGGCUGGAGUGCAAUACCACAAUCUCGUCUCACUGCAACCUCUGCUUCCCAGGUUCAAACGAUUCUCCUAUCUCAGCCUCCCGAGUAGCUAGGAUUACAGGCGCCUGCCACCAUGCCCAGCUAAUUUUUCUAUUUUUAGUAAAGAUGGGGUUUCACCGUGUUGGUCAGGCUGGUCUCUAAUUCCUGACCUCGUGAUCCACCCACCUUGGCCUCCCAAAGUACUGGGAUUGCAGCCAUGAGCCACCGCACCCGGCCUUGACUUAUUUUCUUAAAAUAUAUUUCCUUUAAGUUACUGGAUCAAGGGGUGUGAACAUUUUAAGGUUCUUGAAUGCAGUAUCAAAUUGCUUUGGUAAAGGAUUGUACCAAUUUACAGUGCUACCAGCAGGGUGUGGGUGUACAUUUUCAACAACUUGCCAGCACCGAAUUUCAUCAUUUAAAAAAGGUUUACAGACUGUACAUAAUUUAACUUAAUAUAAACUAAUAAAUUACUGUGUCCAACUUUUGAGCAUGCAUAAAAUUUUUUCCCCAUUUCUUUUUUGUUGGCAUCCCUACUAUUUCGUAAACUGCUUGAGGGCAGUUUACACACCUUGCACAUUGUAGAAAAUCAAUAAUUGCUUUUUGAAACAAUGAAUAAUUCAGGGAAUCCCUGCUCCCAAUAAUUCUUCAGUUUUGAUAAUAGCAGUGAGUUUUGGGUUGUUUUGUUUUCAAGAUAAACUAAAUUACACUUUAUUUCACUGAUGUUGGCAGCCCCAGAGGACUCUGUUUGCAGGAAAAAAAAUGUAUGAAGAUUUUCAUAGGUGGGAAGUAGACCUCUCCCACACAACGAGAAGAGCAGCUAAAUCAUUGCUCUUUUCUCCCAGUCUCUCCCUGCACUCCCAUCUGAUUUCCUGUCUGCUCCUGAAAAGCCAGCUCAAUAUGAACUAAGGAAAAGCUAUUUGUAGUGCUCAUGGGAGGAAAAAGAACACAAAUAGGCUCUUCCUAAGCUAUUGAGCUUAGCUUUCACUCUUUCCAGCAGGAAAAGGGUCAUGCAUGUCCAGGUGAUACUACUUGUACUUUGGUACCCAUUGAUUGGGACAGUGUGUGCCGAUGAAAAGGUGCUGUGAAUUCAGUAAUGCUUUUUAAAUACAUAUUUUAAUUUCAAUGAUGUCUACAUAAAUUUCAAAAACAGCAAUUAAAAAGUAUGCUUGAGACCAAUGUAUCCGGCUACACCUAUUUGGUGCAUAUUUGCAUUCUUAGAUUCCUUAAAUGUCCUCUGCACAAAGGUUAGGAAACUGUGCCCUGACAAUAAAGCAGUAUCUUAUUAGAACUAAGAGAUUAACCAGUAAAGAGGACUAGAGAAGUCGUUGUUAACUGAUACUUUAUUAGUAUUUAAUACAGUAACCUGCCUCUGCUAGAAGUAAGGACUCCUCCUCAACUUUUAAAGAUAGCUAAUUUUAGAACUCUGCUUCCUACCUGUUCACCUUUUUCUCAUUGGUGACAGCAACAAACAAUUAAUGGCUUUCUUAAAUGUCUUGCUGUCUGAAAUAAGAUCUUUUUCCAAUUAAAAAGUCACAAAGGCUGCAUCUCUCCUCUGUUUCCUUCUUUGGCUGUAACAUCUUGACAUCUCUCUCUCUGUCUCCUGUUUUAUCCAAGACUGAGGUUACAUGAAAACAAAAUGGGUCAUAGGCUUCUAUUGCGGGGGUGGGGCGGGGCCGGGGGGCAGAUUAUUUGUGACUGGUUUUAAAGAAAAUUUAUGCUGGUGGUUUGCAGAAAGUUGACAUAUAUCCUAGAGUUUCCUUGUCAGAGGGCAGCAGGGUCCCCAUGGGUUCACAUCGUUGCCUGGACAAGGAGUCUUUGUACCCUAGUCAUGCCUGGGUUGUCGCAGGGAUGGGGUAACUCAUUUAUUCACACUCUUUCUCCUUUCCUGUUUCCUUCAAAGAAACCCUGGUCCUAGUUGACUCUACUUUACUGUUCAAAAUUCAGCUCAACAUAUGUCAAGCUGUAUGUUCUUAAACUCAAGGAAACAGAAAGGUUAUAACCCCGUGGUUUCCAAGCCUGGCUUUUCAUCAGAGUCUCUUGGUGAACUUUUAGAAAAUCCAUAUUCUUGCCCCCACAGCCAUUCUGAUUCAUUAGGACUGCUUGGGGCCAUGGAACUUAUAUUUGGAAAAGCUCUCCUUGUGUUUCUGAUGAUCAGUCCAGUUCCAGAACACCAAGCUAGCCAGGCUCCCAGGGUAAGACCUCCUUGAGUAUCAUCUCUGGCAGGUGGUUCUAUAACCUCCACUGUAAAACCUCCAGCCAUGGGACACUCACCACUUUUUAUGAGUGGCCUGAGUUGAGACAUUCUUCCUUGUGCUGAGUGGAAAGGCAUUUCCACCACAAGAAUUUCUACCUGUUGAUUUCAAUUAUGCCUGUUGGAGCAAUACCAAAAAAAGUUAUUCUUCCCCAUAAUAAACUUUCAAAUACUUCAACCUCUCAAGCAGUUAUUGUUUCCUUCUCAGGAUCUCUCUUCCCUUUUCCAGACCCUUAGUCCAGGGUCCUUCUCUGAUUACGGUUGGAGUGAGAGUGUUGGUUAUGUGCCAAGUGCUUUAGACCUGUCUUUUAGAUAAACUCUUGAGGGAAAUUUAUGGUGUCACUAUCUUCCCAGUAUUUGGGAUGGGAAGACCAAGGGCUGGAGAAGUGAUAUGACCUGCCCCAGCUCCCACAGCUAGGUAGCUAAAUUGAAAUUUGAACACUCUAUCUGACUCCAAAUUCUACAUCUUCAACUAACAUGUUAUGCUUCAGAUUUUUUCUUUCUUUGUUUUUAAAUGCAAAAUAACAAAUGCUAAAUUUGCAUUAAAUCAAGGUAUGUAAAAGUAAAACCUUCCAGUUUAAAAUUCUACUCUAGAGGCUGCCACUGCCAAAUUUGCGAAGGCCCUCUGCAGCCCACCACCACAAGCUGGAAGUUAUAGUCACAGCAGAGGGGAGCCUUCGCCUCCUUUGCUCUGGACACCAUCUGCAGUGACUGCAGCCUCCAACUGCACUGUGGGCUUGGAGCAGUGAGUAGGUUUCUUUUGACCUUGAAGCAACUAGACCCUGCGCUUUUUGUUUGCUUUAAAUAAACUUGUUCAGAUGUCACUCAUUUUAUAUCCUUACAAAUGUAUUUCUUGGUCUUAGAAGGACUUUAUAUCUAUCUCCAUUAUUUUUCUUGUUGGUUGUGAUCCAUUAUAUCAACUUAUAUAGAUCUUUCAGUUCUUUCAAUUUGAUCACCGAUUAAAUUAUCUCGCUCAAUGUCAUUCUCAGAUCUUAAUACAUGUGAUGCCUCUCUUUGUCCAAAUAAUUGAUAAGAGCUUUGUUAAAGGUAGGACCAAGGACAGAGUCUUUGAGCACUUGUAGGGGAAUUAAUCGAUUAAUACUCCUGGGCUACAGUUUUUCAACCAAAUAUGAACACACCUGAUUGUAUUAUCAUUCAGUCUUGUCUAUAAGGGCAUGAAAAAUUUGGCCAAAUGCCUUUCUGUCCACAGCAUUUUCCUGAUUAAUCCAGUAAGUUUAUUCAAAAAAGGAAGUAUUCAAUUUUAUCUUGGCAAACCUAUGUGAGUUCCUACAAACCAACACCUUUUCUUCUUAGGGUUCAGAAAAUAUUUCUUUUAUGGUCUGUGCAAGAACUUUGCUGUGGAUUGAUACCAAACUUACAUUUUGGCUGGGCUUCAAAGUGACUCAGAAAGGGGCUGGGUUCAGGCUGGGAUGUAUGGAGCCUGUAGUGGUGGCAAGGCAAAGGCCAGCAGGGAUAGUGAAUAGAGGCCUCAGUGAUGAGGUGGGUGCGUUGGUUAAUUGCACAGGUGAUAGGGCUGGCUAAUUAGGGUAGGGAAUUGACUAGCUGUCAGUGAGGUGAACUGAAGAAUCCACCCUAUGGAGGUGUCAAGGGGCAGGGAAAGAACAAGAAUGGAAUCAAGGUAGAUGUGUCUUCAGAGAGCAGCCAACUGGGCAGAGAAAGGCUGGAGGCUGAAGCUUGAUUAAUGUACACUAUGGUAGAAACCAUGAAAGCCCAAGGAUCCAGGAGGUGAAGCUGACGUAAGUCAAGGGUGAGAAAUGGUCUUGGGGAACUGAGGCCUCAUCGGGGCUUGUGAUGAGACAACUGUAUUCCCUGUCUCAGCAAAUGAUGCCAACUACCCAGUUGUCCAAACCAGAAACCUGGUGUCCUCCUGGAGUCCUACUGCUCCCUCAGUCUCCCCAUAGCCACUUGAAUUAUCAAGCCCUAUCAUUCCUACCUCCCUCUAAUAGUUCUCAAUGCCCAUUUCUCUACAUUGUUCUACCACCCUUGCCACUGUCAUCUCUUCCCCGACCCCCCAUUUUUUUAUUGUGGUAAAAUAUAAAUAAUAUAAAAUUUACCAUCUUAAGAAUUUUUUUUUUUUUCUUUUCAGAAAGGGUCUCACUCUGUCACCCAGGCUGGAGUGCAGUGGUGCUAUCUUGGCUCAUUGCAACCUCUGCCUCCCGGGUUCAAGCGAUUCUCCUGCCUCAGCCUCCUGAGUAGCUGGGAUUACAGAUUGUGAGAUCGAUGAGAGCCCAGAAAAUAUCUUAGGAUCCCUAGUGCUUAGCACAGAGCUUGGCAUAUGGAGGGACAUGGAUGAAGCUGGAAACCAUCAUUCUCAGCAAACUAUCGCAAGGACAAAAAACCAAACACUGCAUGUUCUCACUCAUAGGUGGGAAUUGAGCAAUGAGAACACAUGGACACAGGAAGGGGAACAUCACACCCCGGGGCCUGUUGUGGGUUGAGGGGAGGGAGGAGGGAUAGCAUUAGGAGAUAUACCUAAUGUUAAAUGACGAGUUAAUGGGUGCAGCACACCAACAUGGCACAUGUAUAUAUAUGUAACAAACCUGCACGUUGUGCACAUGUACCGUAAAACUUAAAAUAUAGUAAAAAGAAAAAAAAGAAGAAUGGAAUGCCUGAUUCUGCAUCCCUCUAGAUGGGAUCAACAGGAUCAAAACAUGACCUUGAUGGCCAAGCCAAGUUCUCUUUUUCCCAAAGGGUUUAAAUCUGCCCUAUUUAAUAUGGUAGCCAGUAGCCAUAUGUAUUUAUAUUAAAUUUAAAUUAAUCAAAAUUUAAAAAUUAGGUACUUAGUCACACUAGCUACAUUUUACAUGCUCAGUAGCCACAUAAAGCCAGUGGCUGCUGUAUUGAACAGUGCUGAUUAUGGAAUAUUUCCAUCACUGCAAAAGGUUCUGUUGGACAGCAGUAAUCCAGAUCUCCUUUGUAGAAGAAUUGGCACCUGGGGCUGCCUGAUCUUCAAGGGGCACAUCACAGAGCAUGGUGUUGACCCAUCUGGAUACCAUGUUUGAAGUUGACAUGGCCCAGAAAUUUGACUUCCACCAGUUAAAAAUGUACUUUGACAGUUUUGUAUUUAACCUGUAAAUCCAGAAGCAUGUCAGGGCCUUCUGGAUGGAGCACUGUGAAAUUAGCAUACACUUCAAACCCUCUUCCCUAAAAGAUCAUGCACUACUGUGCUGUACAUGGUAGACCUAUCUCAUAGUGUAGGCUUCAGCAAAUACCCUUUGACAAAUAAUUGGUUCUGUGCUGAUGAUAAGCCUAAUAGGUGAAAGAUGGUCUUUCCCUUAAAAAAUUGAGAUAUAUGAUACCAGUCUCAUAAACUCUAAUUCACAAGCCCUGGCAUUAUGAGAGGCACUUAAAGUAUGAAUGGUGUUAAGAUUAUCCUUUAAUUUUGCAGUAGGCAAAUGACCUCCCAAAGAUAUUCGCUUCCUAAUCCCCAGAAUUUGGGAAUACAUUACCUUACAUGACAAAGGGGAUUUGCAGAUGUGAAUAAGUGAAGGAUUUUGAGAUGGGGAGACUAUCCUGGAUAAUCCCAGUGGGACUCAUGUAAUCACACAAGUUCUUAAAAGUGGAGAACUUUUCCCUGCUGUGGUCACAGAGAAAAACGCAACCAAUGUAAGAACGGUCAGAGAGAUUCAACAUUGUUGGCUUUGAAGAUAGAGGAAGAGACCACAAGCCGAAGAAUGCAGGCAGGCUCUAGAAGCUGGGAAAGAGAAGGAAACGUAUUCUCUGCAGAGCUACCAAAAUGAAUACAUCCCUGUCUACACCUUGAUUUUAACCUGGUGAGACCUGUAUUGGGCUUCUGACCUACAGAACUCUAAGUAAUAACUAUAUGUUGUUGAACAUGCUAAGUUUGUGGGAAUUGUAACAAUAGCAAUAGGAAAUGAAUAUACCUUUUAUACAGUGGAGGAUGACUAAAUAAUUUAUUUUGAAAAUACAACUGUCACAAGGAUGAAAUAUUCAUGAUCACAAAUUGGUGCAUUCUUAACUGUGGAUAAUUAUGUAUGAAGCCAAAUUAUAAUAAAACUGUUAUUUGCCAAACAUAGAAACCUUGCUUCGUGACUAGGCUGAGCCCAGAAGGUCAUUCCCUUCUUCUGCCUGUUAUGUAUCUGGGCAAGUGUAGGGCCUUUGCAGGUGAAUCCAGUAGAGAACAUGCUAAGAAUGAGCAGCAGUCAUGCAUGACUGUAUCAUUGAAAGCCUUCUAGCCAUUUUACAGCUUCACCUCCCUGGUUUUAUUUUUUCAGAGGGGACUGAAGGAGAUGAAUGGAUAAUAAACUAUGGCUAAAAA